rnacentral:rRNA from 1 species
CUUUGAUUCUGGCUCAGGAUGAACGCUAGCGACAGGCUUAACACAUGCAAGUCGAGGGGCAGCGGGGAGUAGCAAUACUCCGCCGGCGACCGGCGCACGGGUGAGUAACACGUGUGCAACCAACCCCGUACCGGGAGAUAACCCGCGGAAACGUGGACUAAUACCCCAUAACACCUUUCCCCCGCAUGGGGGAGAGUUUAAAAUCCCGAUGGUACGGGACGGGCACGCGCGACAUUAGGUAGCUGGCGGGGUAACGGCCCACCAAGCCGACGAUGUCUAGGGGUUCUGAGAGGAAGGUCCCCCACACUGGAACUGAGACGCGGUCCAGACUCCUACGGGAGGCAGCAGUGAGGAAUAUUGGUCAAUGGGCGAGAGCCUGAACCAGCCAAGUCGCGUGAGGGAAGAAUGGUCUAUGGCCUGUAAACCUCUUUUGUCAAGGAAGAAUAAGCGGCACGAGUGCCACCUUGCCAGUACUUGACGAAUAAGCAUCGGCUAACUCCGUGCCAGCAGCCGCGGUAAUACGGGGGAUGCGAGCGUUAUCCGGAUUUAUUGGGUUUAAAGGGCGCGUAGGCGGGACGGCAAGUCAGCGGUAAAAGACUGCAGCUAAACUGUAGCACGCCGUUGAAACUGUCGACCUGGAGACGAGACGAGGGAGGCGGAACAAGUGAAGUAGCGGUGAAAUGCAUAGAUAUCACUUGGAACCCCGAUAGCGAAGGCAGCUUCCCAGGCUCGGUCUGACGCUGAUGCGCGAGAGCGUGGGUAGCGAACAGGAUUAGAUACCCUGGUAGUCCACGCCGUAAACGAUGCUCACUGGAUCUUGGCGAUACACGGCCAGGGUUCAAGCGAAAGUAUUAAGUGAGCCACCUGGGGAGUACGUCGGCAACGAUGCAACUCAAAUGAAUUGACGGA